rnacentral:piRNA from 1 species
UAAUGGAAAUACGGAAACACUGUUGCC